rfam:Asian citrus Psyllid, Diaphorina citri - Florida Strain, whole genome shotgun sequence.
UCUCUAAUCAGCUUGAUGGGUAGAGCGUCCGCCUUGUAAGCGCUAGGUCGCGGGUUCGAUUCCCGCUCGGGGCG